rnacentral:rRNA from 1 species
UACAGAGGUGGCAAGCGUUGUUCGGAAUUACUGGGCGUAAAGGGCGCGUAGGCGGUCUUGUAAGUCUUGUGUGAAAUCCCUCGGCUUAACUGAGGAACUGCACGAGAUACUGCGAGACUUGAGAUCGGGAGAGGGAAGCGGAAUUCCGGGUGUAGCGGUGAAAUGCGUAGAUAUUCGCAAGAACACCAGUGGCGAAGGCGGCUCACUGGCCCGGUACUGACGCUGAGGUGCGAAAGCGUGGGGAGCAAACAGG